GGCACUAUGGCAUAGUGGUUAGCACUUUCGCCUCGUGGCAAGAAAUUCGUGGGUUCGAAUCUGACCUGGGGCCU